rnacentral:rRNA from 1 species
UACGGGGGGGGGCAAGCGUUGUUCGGAAUUACUGGGCGUAAAGGGCUCGUAGGCGGCCAACUAAGUCCGACGUGAAAUCCCCAGGCUUAACCUGGGAACUGCGUCGGAUACUGGAUGGCUUGAAUCCGGGAGAGGGAUGCGGAAUUCCAGGUGUAGCGGUGAAAUGCGUAGAUAUCUGGAGGAACACCGGUGGCGAAGGCGGCAUCCUGGACCGGCAUUGACGCUGAUGAGCGAAAGCCAGGGGAGCAAACGGG